rnacentral:tRNA from 1 species
CGGAGAGGUGGCUGAGUGGUUGAAAGCACCGCACUCGAAAUGCGGCAUGGGGGCAACUCCAUCGGGGGUUCGAAUCCCUCCCUCUCCGCCAU